rnacentral:tRNA from 1 species
AGGAGUAUAGCUAAGUGGUAGAACACUUGCCUAGCAUGCAUGGAACCCUGGAUUCAAUCCCCAGUGCUACCA